AUGGCAAUCCGGUUAAAUCCCCUCCUUUUUAUUUUUGCAAUUAUGUGCAUUGCUUCACUCAUGGUUGCAGGAUUUCAAGAUUUGCAACAUUCUGAUACAUUACAGUGCUUUAAUUCUGGUGCAUGUCCAAAUGAUAUUGAAGCUUGUCGACAUUCUUGUAUAUCAAAGGGUUUUCCUAAAGGUGGUAAGUGUGGAGCCAAAUUAUCCACAUGCUGUUGCUAUGGAGAUUAG
rnacentral:lncRNA from 1 species